UACGGGGGGGGGGCAAGCGUUGUUCGGAAUUACUGGGCGUAAAGGGCGCGUAGGUGGCCAACUAAGUCAGACGUGAAAUCCCUCGGCUUAACCGGGGAACUGCGUCUGAUACUGGAUGGCUUGAGUUUGGGAGAGGGACGCGGAAUUCCAGGUGUAGCGGUGAAAUGCGUAGAUAUCUGGAGGAACACCGGUGGCGAAGGCGGCGUCCUGGACCAAUACUGACACUGAAACGCGAAAGCCAGGGGAGCAAACGGG
rnacentral:rRNA from 1 species